rnacentral:rRNA from 1 species
CCUACGGGGGGCAGCAGUGAGGAAUAUUGGUCAAUGGGCGGGAGCCUGAACCAGCCAAGUCGCGUGAGGGAAGACGGUCCUAAGGAUUGUAAACCUCUUUAGGCGGGGAGCAAUGCCGGGCACGCGUGCCCGGAGGGAGAGUACCCGCAGAAUAAGCAUAGGCUAACUCCGUGCCAGCAGCCGGGGUAAUACGGAGGAUGCGAGCGUUAUCCGGAUUUAUUGGGUUAAAAGGGUGCGUAGGCGGAUUUUUAAGUCAGCGGGAAAAUGGCCGGGCUCAACCCGGGCCGGCCGUUGAAACUGGGGAGCUUGAGUGGGCGGGAAGUAUGCGGAAUGCGUGGUGUAGCGGUGAAAUGCAUAGAUAUCACGCAGAACUCCGAUUGCGAAGGCAGCAUACCGGCGCCCGACUGACGCUGAGGCACGAAAGCGUGGGGAUCGAACAGGAUUAGAUACCCGAGUAGUC